rnacentral:rRNA from 1 species
AACAACGCUGGCGGCAUGCCUAACACAUGCAAGUCGAACGAAGUCUUCGGACUUAGUGGCGCACGGGUGCGUAACGCGUGGGAAUCUACCCUUGGGUACGGAAUAACUCAGAGAAAUUUGUGCUAAUACCGUAUAAUGACUUCGGUCCAAAGAUUUAUCGCCCAAGGAUGAGCCCGCGUAAGAUUAGCUAGUUGGUGGGGUAAAAGCCUACCAAGGCGACGAUCUUUAGCUGGUCUGAGAGGAUGAUCAGCCACACUGGGACUGAGACACGGCCCAGACUCCUACGGGAGGCAGCAGUGGGGAAUAUUGGACAAUGGGCGAAAGCCUGAUCCAGCAAUGCCGCGUGAGUGAUGAAGGCCCUAGGGUUGUAAAGCUCUUUUACCCGAGAUGAUAAUGACAGUAUCGGGAGAAUAAGCUCCGGCUAACUCCGUG